rnacentral:lncRNA from 1 species
UCGGUUCGACCUGCUGGUCCUCGCGUUGGCCCCUGCUCUCGACUCCGGCGCUCUCCGAUCUGGUGUUGACCAGGGUCGAUCGGCACGUGAGUCUCUCUCUCCUCUUCUCCGUUCGCCCGGUGAGCUCGCGGCUGUUAGCUCUUCGAUCGGGCUCGUAUCGAGCAGGUUUUAGAGGGGUUUCUGGUUUUGAGGUCUUUAAGAUGUGAUUGCUUUUGCCGUGAAGUUUGAACUGGUUCCGAUGCCAUCGGCGUCGUCGAUGUGCGAUUCGCGAAUCAAGUAUCGAGAGAUGCGCCGUUAGGCCUUUGUUGUUUGAAUCAGAUGCGAGGAGGCGGGCUCUGAGGAUGUGUAGGUUUUGUAGGUUUGUUUGCAUUUUAGAGCAUUUGAACUCGUGUCGGAUGAUUGGGCUGUCUGAUAGUGGUUCUUUACUUGAGUGGUCGGUUUUAACGAUCCUCCUGUCGUGAGGAUGAUGAGAGUAGAUUGUGAUAAGUGAAUGGGCUCCUCGAAAUUUAAAGGAUUUUGUUUGCUGGUCGAAAGGUCCACUUGGUUUUGUCUGGUUUAGAUAUGAUGAGAAAAGGAUUAAGUCAAUUCAGGGUAGAGGGUUUCCAUAUCUAAAUCUGCAAGACUAUCGCGUGGAAUAAUGGAGCUGAAAAAGCAUUCAGUUGAACCAUGAUACUUAUGAUAUUCAUUGACAAUCACAUGAACUGCUUGACUAAAAUUAUCAGAAAAGAAUUUUGGGAAGAAUACUGAAAAUCUAAUGUUCAAUAAUUCAAACAAAAUCUAACCAAAAUGAAGGUGAAUUCCUACACCAUAGGUAGGAUAUUACAGAAAAUGUCAGUACCUGAGGUGCAUAUACACAACCAAGGGCACCGACUAUAAUUCCUCCUAAGACAAAGCCGCCAACAAAGAUGCUUGCACUGCUCGGCCUUCCACCAUCUCU